rnacentral:rRNA from 1 species
CUUUUGGUUUUACGUCAAGCAAUACGUAGAGUAACUCCCAAUAUAGGAGUAAAAACAAGACGUAAUAAAAAAGGAUCGACGCGGCCUAGGCGUAGAGGAACCACACCAAUCCAUCCCGAAUUUGGUGGUUAA